rnacentral:rRNA from 1 species
AUCGAACGCUGGCGGUAUGCUUAACACAUGCAAGUCGAACGGUAACGGGCUUUUCGGAGCGCCGACGAGUGGCGAACGGGUGAGUAAUACGUAGGAACUUGCCUACUAGAGAGGGAUAACUUAGGGAAACUUAAGCUAAUACCUCGUAAUAUCUAAGGAUUAAAGCAUGGGACCUUCGGGCCAUGCGCUAGGAGAUAGGCCUGCGUUGGAUUAGCUUGUUGGUGGGGUAAAGGCCUACCAAGGCGAUGAUCCAUAGCUGUUCUGAGAGGAUGAUCAGCCACACUGGAACUGAGACACGGUCCAGACUCCUACGGGAGGCAGCAGUGGGGAAUUUUGGACAAUGGACGCAAGUCUGAUCCAGCCAUUCCGCGUGCAGGAUGAAGGCCCUCGGGUUGUAAACUGCUUUUGUACGGAACGAAAAGGUCACUCUUAAUACGGGGGACUCAUGACGGUACCGUAAGAAUAAGCACCGGCUAACUACGUGCCAGCCGCCGCCGUAA